rnacentral:rRNA from 1 species
GUAGUCCACGCCGUAAACGAUGUCUACUUGGAGGUUGUGGCCUUGAGCCGUGGCUUUCGGAGCUAACGCGUUAAGUAGACCGCCUGGGGAGUACGGUCGCAAGAUUAAAACUCAAAUGAAUUGACGGGGGCCCGCACAAGCGGUGGAGCAUGUGGUUUAAUUCGAUGCAACGCGAAGAACCUUACCUACUCUUGACAUCUACAGAAGCUUGCGGAGACGCGAGUGUGCCUUCGGGAACUGUAAGACAGGUGCUGCAUGGCUGUCGUCAGCUCGUGUUGUGAAAUGUUGGGUUAAGUCCCGCAACGAGCGCAACCCUUAUCCUUGUUUGCCAGCGAGUCAUGUCGGGAACUCCAGGGAGACUGCCGGUGAUAAACCGGAGGAAGGUGGGGACGACGUCAAGUCAUCAUGGCCCUUACGAGUAGGGCUACACACGUGCUACAAUGGCGCAUACAGAGGGCAGCGAACUUGCGAGAGUAAGCGAAUCCCAAAAAGUGCGUCGUAGUCCGGAUUGGAGUCUGCAACUCGACUCCAUGAAGUCGGAAUCGCUAGUAAUCGUGAAUCAGAAUGUCACGGUGAAUACGUUCCCGGGCCUUGUACACACCGCCCGUCACACCAUGGGAGUGGGCUGCAAAAGAAGCAGGUAGUUUAACCUUCGGGAGGACGGUUACCACUUUGUGAUUCACGACUGGGGUG